GACCCACCCGAGCAGUUUGCGCUGCAGGGGGGAGAAGGAGGGGCGCGCAUGCGCAGACGGACAGACGCGUGGACGCCGGAACCCGCCCAGAAUGCGUGGAAGCUGGCGGGAGCCGGUUGCUCCUGGACCAGCUCCAGGAAGAGGAACACGGCCUGGGGUCUGGGCCGCCGCUUGCACGCGGCUCGUCUGCCGCUGCCGGGCAGUUAAGGGGGCGCUGGUGGGGGCGCGCUGCUCGGGGAGCCGGCGGGUGACGCCUGGGCUGUGCAGCUGAGUAGGCGCCCAGGGACGGGUGCGGAGAUGCACAAAGCAGGGUAAUCGGAAGCCUCUCAAUUCCAGAGAUAAUAAUAGUGAAAAAUAUUGUGCAGUGACAGUGAAUCCUUGGCAUAUGAAGAAAGAUUGUAAAGUCCUGAAUGAAUUAAGAAGAUGCAGAAGUUUUUAUAGCUUCACAGACAUAUCAGUCUUGCAGAGAGAAAAAUUUCUUUGCAUUUUGCUGAACUUGUCCGGGUGGCUUUAUCGAAUUUGGUCCAGGCCUCCAGAGGUGAAUACACAUCCAAACCUGAACCAUUUGAAUGUGUGCAAGAUUUUACGAGUCUAGA